CAGAUUGGUGCAGUGAGACGAGAGAUUGUGAUGACAUGAAGACUGUGAUUGUUGCUGUUUUGCUUUUGCUGGUUGUCAGUCAGAGUGAAGCUCUGAAGUGUAACUGUGGAGGUUCGCGCUACUGUCAAACCUCUGUGGAGACCUGCGUUGGAUCUAACAAUGUCUGCGCCAGUGUCAUCAUCUAUCCAGGAACUCCCAAAUACUUCCAGGGUUGCAUGAAUUCACCCGACUGCAGGAUAAUGAAUCAUCCUGGUAUAUCAUCUGCCACUUGCUGCGCGACUGAUCUGUGCAACAGAUAAAUUGCUAUCAUGCACAACAUUUUCCAAUGCAUAAAUAAUUUACUGUCAUGUAUUGUGUAAUAUCAUUUUCACAAUAAAAAUCAACU